CAGUAGCCGCGGUAAUACGAAGGGUGCAAGCGUUACUCGGAAUUACUGGGCGUAAAGCGUGUGUAGGUGGUUGUUUAAGUCUGUCGUGAAAGCCCUGGGCUUAACCUGGGAAUUGCGAUGGAUACUGGGCGACUAGAGUGCGGUAGAGGAUAGUGGAAUUUCCGGUGUAGCAGUGAAAUGCGUAGAGAUCGGAAGGAACAUCUGUGGCGAAGGCGACUAUCUGGGCCAACACUGACACUGAGACACGAAAGCGUGGGGAGCAAACAGGAUUAGAUACCCGUGUAGUCCCUGUCUCUUAUAC
rnacentral:rRNA from 1 species